CCUACGGGAGGCAGCAGUGGGGAAUAUUGCACAAUGGGGGAAACUCUGAUGCAGCGACGCCGCGUGAGUGAAGAAGGAAUUCGGUAUGUAAAGCUCUAUCCGCAGGGAAGAAAAUGACGGUACUUGCGUAAGAAGCACCGGCUAACUACGGGCCAGCAGCCGCGGUAAUACGUAGGGGGCAAGCGUUAUCCGGAUUUACUGGGUGUAAAGGGUGCGUAGAAGGCAGUGUAAGUUUGGAGUGAAAGGCGGGGGCUCAACCCCCGGACUGCUCUGGAAACUGUACGGCUUGAGUGCAGGAGAGGUAAGUGGAAUUCCUAGUGUAGCGGUGAAAUGCGUAGAUAUUAGGAGGAACACCAGUGGCGAAGGCGGCUUACUGGACUGUAACUGACGUUGAGGCUCGAAAGCGUGGGGAGCAAACAGGAUUAGAUACCCUUGUAGUC
rnacentral:rRNA from 1 species